UGCGCAACAAGGACGCCGCUGUCCAGGCCCGCACCAAAGCGGCGAAUCGCGCCAACGUCCUUCAGCUCAAGAUGAUGGGGCAGGGGCACCCUACGGGCCUCACACCGAAUUUGUUGAAGCUGUUCGAGGCGCGGCCUCCUUUGGAGUACAAGCCGCCUCCGGAGAAGAAAAAGUGUCUGCCAUAUGCAGGGAUGGCACAAUUUGUGAGUCAUUUUGCGGAGCCCGG
rnacentral:misc_RNA from 1 species